rnacentral:rRNA from 1 species
UACGGAGGGUGCGAGCGUUGUCCGGAAUCACUGGGCGUAAAGGGCGCGUAGGUGGCGUCGCAAGUCAACGGUGAAAGCUCGACGCUCAACGUCGAGUCGGCCGUCGAGACUGCGAGGCUUGAGCACUGUAGAGGCAGAUGGAAUUCCGGGUGUAGCGGUGGAAUGCGUAGAGAUCCGGAGGAAUACCGGUGGCGAAGGCGGCAUCCUGGACCGGCAUUGACGCUGAGGAGCGAAAGCUAGGGGAGCAAACAGG